rnacentral:rRNA from 1 species
GAUGAACGCUGGCGGCGUGCCUAAUACAUGCAAGUCGAGCGAACAGACGAGGAGCUUGCUCCUCUGACGUUAGCGGCGGACGGGUGAGUAACACGUGGAUAACCUACCUAUAAGACUGGGAUAACUUCGGGAAACCGGAGCUAAACCGGAAAAAAUUUUUGACCCCAAGGGUCAAUUGGGAAAGACCGUUUUUCUGGUACUUACUGAUGGAUCCGCGCCGCAUUAGCUAGUUGGUAAGGUAACGGCUUACCAAGGCAACGAUGCGUAGCCGACCUGAGAGGGUGAUCGGCCACACUGGAACUGAGACACGGUCCAGACUCCUACGGGAGGCAGCAGUAGGGAAUCUUCCGCAAUGGGCGAAAGCCUGACGGAGCAACGCCGCGUGAGUGAUGAAGGUCUUCGGAUCGUAAAACUCUGUUAUUAGGGAAGAACAAAUGUGUAAGUAACUAUGCACGUCUUGACGGUACCUAAUCAGAAAGCCACGGCUAACUACGUG